UGCCCUGGGGUACGCAGGAGUACAGCAUCUCUGUGAAAGUCUAUGUCAUGGGAAGAAUUGUGUACCUGUCACCUAACUGGAGAGUGUUGUCAGGAUUUAUGUAAUUCACUCUACACCAGUGAACAACUGAGAGAACUUGACCUCAGGGACAAUGCCUUGGGGGAGCAGAGCAUGAAUGUGUUGUGUCAAGGGUUGAAACACCCUUCCUGCAAACCUCAGACCUUGUGGUUAGCAAAAUGUCACUUCACAGAUGUGUGCUGUGGAACCCUUGCCUCUGACCUCAACAGAAAUGAGAACCUAACAUUCUUAGAAUUAAGUGGAAAUUUCCUCAAGGAUUUUGGAGUGCAAAUGUUUUAUGAUGUAUUGAUUCAUCCAAUAUGUAGAUUACAGACAUUCUAGUAAGUUCUGUGGUGGGGG